UACGUAGGGGGCUAGCGUUGUCCGGAAUCAUUGGGCGUAAAGAGCGUGUAGGCGGCUUGGUAAGUCCGCUGUGAAAGUCCAGGGCUUAACCCUGGAAAGCCAAUGGAAACUGUCAAGCUAGAGUCCGGAAGAGGUGAGUGGAACUCCUGGUGUAGCGGUGAAAUGCGCAGAUAUCAGGAAGAACACCAAUGGCGAAGGCAGCUCACUGGGACGGUACUGACGCUGAGACGCGAAAGCGUGGGGAGCAAACAGG
rnacentral:rRNA from 1 species